UAAAGAAAAUGUCAACUUCAAUGAAGCCAUUCAAAAUGAGAAAGAUAGCAUCCUAAGUAGAGAACUUCUUACCAUCUUUAAACUAAUGGAUGAUACCCAUUAUUCUGAUGCUAAAAAAACUUGGAUAAACUUCAUCAAAAGUAAUACUAGCGACGAUGAUCCUAAAAAGAAAACAGUUGCCAAUUUGUUUGGUGAUGAAUUUGAUUUUUUCAUUAGUCAUCUCGAAAAGCCAUGGGUCUGGGAUGGGGUUUCCACAUGCAGCAAUGCUACUUGUUCUCAUCAGCGCCAGUUACAUAAAAGAGAUUCUGAUUUUGGCCAUGUUGUUAUGGAAAGAAACUUUCAAUCUAUUCAAGAUCUUAUGGACACUUGGAUGCUUAGUUACGCUAAUUGUGAUAAGUAUAUAGACGAAGAUGCUGAUUCAGAUGACCGAUGCAAUGGAAAACGCACAAUUGUGAGAACAAUAACAACAUAUUCACCAAUUGCUGUUGUCCGCUUAUACGAACACGCAUUGUUGGGACGAAUAAAGCUAGAGGAUGUUCUGAAAACACCGAAUUUACAAUUACAGAAACAGAAAUAUUAUUUGGCUGGUGUUACUAUGUUUAAAGUCAAUCAUUAUUGUGCUGUGGUGUUAUUCGGGAGUGAAUUUUGGUGGUACGAUGGACUUGUUGGAAAACUUCAGGGUUUGCCUAGAAAUAUUGACCCAUGGUUCCUAUC